ACAUGUCCAUUUGCGCAUGCCAUGGUGAUGGUGUUUGGGGCACAGCCCCCUGUCAGUUGCCAAACAUAAUGACAUCACAUACAUCCGGGAACUCUGUUGUAAUCACAGAGUGAUGCAAGAUGGCGGCUCGAUUAUGAAAAUAGAAGGUCCUUGGACCUAUUUCGGCAGCUUGCAACAUUUCUGUGUUGCUUGUAGUUUGAUAGACGGGAUGCUACGAGGGUAGAGGAGUCAUGGAUCCUAUGUGCAGCCUGUUCGGGGACGAGAGCGAGCCAAGGUCGGAGAAAAAGAAGCGGCGGCCCUCCAGACCUACCAGCCUGGACCUUAGGCCCCGGCUCCCGCCUGAGGUUGAAGAAGGCAAUGUUGAGUACAAGCUGAAGCUGCUGAACCCGUCUCCAUCCCGGUUUGAACACCUGGUGACCCAGAUGAAAUGGCGGCUGCAGGAAGGCGGCGGUGAGGCCAUCUAUGAGAUCGGGGUGGAGGACAGCGGGAUGAUGGCAGGCCUCACAGAGGACGAGCUCAAACGGUCCCUCUAUACCCUCAACAGGAUGGCAGAGAAACUUGGUGCUACCACUUCGAUCCUAAGAGAGAGAGACAUUGAAGGUGAUGGGGAAAUUCGCAAGGCAGCAGAGGUGCUGGUUAGGAAAGUGCCUGAUGAUCAGCAGUUCCUAGACUUGCGCUUGGCUGUUCUGGGGAAUGUGGAUGCAGGGAAGAGUACUCUGCUGGGUGUCCUGACCCAGGGGGAGCUGGACAAUGGGCGAGGUCGAGCCAGGCUCAACAUGUUCAGACACCUGCAUGAGAUCCAGUCUGGGAGGACCUCCAGCAUCGGACAUGAGAUUCUGGGUUUUGACAGUCAUGGAAAUGUCAUCAACUACAACGAGAACCGCACAGCGGCUGAAAUUUGUGAGAGUGCGUCCAAACUGAUCACCUUUAUCGACCUUGCGGGUCACCAAAAGUACCUCAAAACCACUAUAUUUGGGCUGACAGGCUACAACCCUGACUACACUAUGCUAGUCAUCAGUGCUAACACUGGGAUAGUUGGGAUGACCAAGGAACAUCUUGGCUUGGCACUAGCCCUGAAGCUGCCCAUCUUCAUCGUUAUCAGCAAGACUGACCUGUGCUCUGCAGUGGUGACAGAGCGCACACUGAAACAGGUGGAGCGAGUACUGAAAUCUCCUGGUUGUAACAGGAUACCUCUCAGGAUAGAGAAUGAGGAUGAUGCCAUCACUGCUGCUGCUAACUUUAACACUGACAGAAUAACUCCCAUCUUCAGAAUAUCCAGUGUGAGUGGUGAGAACCUGGACUUGCUGCGGCGGUUCCUGAACGUGCUGCCCCCUCCACACUCAGGCAAGGAGCAGGAGCAACUCAUGCAGGAGCUUACAGAAUACCAGGUUGAUGAGAUGUACACUGUGCCAGGGGCUGGGACUGUGGUGGGAGGGACACUGUACCGCGGAGUGGCACGGGAGGGAGACAGCCUGCUCAUCGGGCCUAACGAGGCAGGCAGCUUCCUUCCUGUUUCGGUCAACACUGUCCACAGAAACCGGGCACCCUGCAGAGUGGUCAAGGCAGGCCAGACGGCAACUCUAGCUCUUGGAGAUGUGGACAGGACUGUUCUCAGAAAGGGCAUGGUACUGCUGAGCCCUGAGCUGCAGCCUGUGUCAUGUCUGGAGUUUGAGGCAGAGGUCCUGCUGCUGUUCCACACAACCUACAUCUGUAAGGGCUUCCAGACUACCGUCCAUGUGGGGAAUGUCUGCCAGACUGCUAUCAUUGACGAAGUGGAGGAUGGUUACAUCACCAUCAAUCAGAAGAGACACAUGCGCUUCAGGUUUGUCAAGCAUCCCGAGUACCUGCGGGAGGGCACCAGGCUGCUGUUCAGGGAGGGCAGGACCAAAGGUAUCGGUACUGUCACCAAGGUGUUCCCUUACACACCUGUGGACAGGUAAAUCAAAACACCUGUACUGCUCAACACCUCCAGAUAGGAAGGAUGUAAAUGUAUCCCCGUAAGGUAAUGGCAUUAAUACUAAUACGUGGAAACCUCCAUCUAGCAUGUUUAUAUCCAACGUAGGCAAUGGCGUAGUAUCAAAUACCAUAUAAUGUCACAUUUGUGUGGUCAGUAUUAUGCUCUUGACUGUUGAGAAUUUAAAUCUAAGGUUAGGAAUACUUGAUCUGCAUUAUACCCACUCUGUACUUAGAUUGUAUGUUAACAUUAAUUGUGACUUUUAAUGGUAGAGGGUAUAAAAGAAUAUUUCAUAAAUGCUUUUGCAUUUGUGGAAUGGAAAUUAUGGAACGUGCAUCAAACUAUAGCAAAAUCAUUGAGGUGUGGUCAAGACUCAAGGUACAGUUGACAAGCAGCUAUUGCUGGUGCUAAGCUGCAGUGUUUUUUCCCAUGUUCUUGUAUUUGUAAUAUCACUUUUAUGGCAAAAAUCAUACUAUUCAGUCUUUUAAAAAUCCCCAUUUUAGGAAUAUGUACAGCUGACUUGGCUGAUUUUAUCAGAACAUUUGAAACAUUAUGUUGUACUUAAUGAGAAAAUUUAUAGAAAUGUAUAAAGUGCUUAUCAGAAAUGUAUAAAAUACAUCAGUUUCAUGAUGAUGCUUUAUUACAAGACUUCUGUUUGCAGUUGUUCUGAAAACAUGCAGUUGAAUGCAAACAUGAACUGGGUAGAGCCUGUGUUUGUCAAAUUGGGUUGUUAAUAGGUGUGUUAUUGAAUGGUUUCUUCUCAGGAAAUAUGUUGUAAUCCUAAUGAUUUCUAUUGAGUGUAUUAGAGCAUGUUGGGUUUAUAUUACAACAGUUCGUACACUGUUACUCGAGUACCUUGUACAUAGAGUGAAAAUACAUCUACAUUUUUACAAGA